CUGGGUCUUCUGGUACUCGUAUGGGUGCGUGGGUUCGAAUCCCACUUCGUGCAGAAAUUUUUGG
ensembl:ncRNA F26H11.9 ncRNA